AGCGGGAAGUAGUCGCUG
rnacentral:snRNA from 1 species